GUCUGGAUGAGCAGUGAUGGAGGAUUACUGCCCUGAACAGCCAACACACGCUUCAGAAAACCAGACCUAGCAGAGGAUACAGGACUCGAAACCAGGCUUAGCCAGAGCUGCCAGACGUCCCAGACUGACCGCAUAAAGCCCAGAGUCUAUGAAUUCAGAGAGAUAUUAAAGCUCCCCUUUAAAUCCGCAACACACCUGUGAGUAACAGCAGAUAUGAAGCGCCGCUGGCCGUCUUGAAGUGCAGGUGAGCGAAUACACCGUUCACGUCAACAUUGACCCUGGAGCCGAGCUGAUCACCAGAUUUCCCAGAGAAAAACACCAGUUCAGUCUAAAGGAGGGAGGAGAUCACAGUGAAUCUUCAGCGUUAGUGAGCUUUAGAGUUGAGAUCCGGGACGCUGAUCAGCGGGAGAUUUCCAUGCAUCAAAGUCGAACGCGAAUGCUGCCACAUGAUCUGACCUGAUGGAGAGGCAACGGGAACAUUUGGAUGAAAUACUGUCGCGUUAUAUUCAGUGCUGGGUUUACCUGCAUUCAAACAUGUGUUACGGCUGGCAUCAGCAUCUCUGUAGAUGAAGAACACAUCUAACACCUUGUCUUCAUUGGCAUCCUCAACAGCCAGGAAAUCAAACGUGGCUAAAACAGAG